AGAACGAACGCUGGCGGCAGGCCUAACACAUGCAAGUCGAGCGCCCCGCAAGGGGAGCGGCGGACGGGUGAGUAACACGUGGGAAUUUUCCUCAAGGUACGGAACAACUCAGGGAAACUUGGGCUAAUACCGUAUGAUGCAGAGAUGCCAAAGAUUUAUCGCCUUGGGAUAAGCCCGCGUCAGAUUAGGUAGUUGGUGAGGUAACGGCUCACCAAGCCUGUGAUCUGUAGCUGGUCUGAGAGGACGAUCAGCCACAUUGGGACUGAGACACGGCCCAAACUCCUACGGGAGGCAGCAGUGGGGAAUCUUGCGCAAUGGGCGAAAGCCUGACGCAGCCAUGCCGCGUGAAUGAUGAAGGUCUUAGGAUUGUAAAGUUCUUUCGCUCGUGACGAUGAUGACGGUAACGAGAGAAGAAGCCCCGGCUAACUUCGUGCCAGCAGCCGCGGUAAUACGAAGGGGGCUAGCGUUGUUCGGAAUUACUGGGCGUAAAGCGCGCGUAGGCGGCUUUGCAAGCCAGAGGUGAAAUGCCUGAGCUCAACUUAGGAAUUGCCUUUGGGACUGCGAGGCUUCGAGGACUGGAGAGGUGAGUGGAAUUCCCAGUGUAGAGGUGAAAUUCGUAGAUAUUGGGAAGAACACCAGUGGCGAAGGCGGCUCACUGGCCAGUUUCUGACGCUAAAGCGCGAAAGCGUGGGGAUCAAACAGGAUUAGAUACCCUGGUAGUCCACGCUGUAAACGAUGAGUGCUAGGCGUCGGCACGCUUGCGUGUCGGUGCCGCAGCUAACGCGUGAAGCACUCC
rnacentral:rRNA from 1 species